UUGUGUAUAUAAGUUAUGAGUUAAUUUUUAUAGUAUGGAAUUUUAUCAAUCAUGUAUGUUAUGAGCUUAAUUUUAUUUCAGCUACUGAACACAAUUGUUGAAGAUUUCAGUUGGUGGGCAACUCUCUUUGGGAAGAUCCCCCGGCACUUCUAAUAGGAGUAAAGCUAUGGUCGCUACAAAAGUAUACACGACGCUGGCCACAAGAUGGAAAUUGGAAAGCAUUGAAGCGUAUGCUAGCAAUUAACACCACAAAAUGCACUUUGAAGUAAGACCUUGUCAAGACCCGACACGGUCAAAGUAUAUUUGGAUACUCAUUGUGAUGAGGACAAGGACAAGGACAAGGGUCAUGGAGCACUAAAAGGACUUGGAGGACCAAUGACUAGGGCAAGGGCUAAAAGGGCCAAGGAAGCACUUCAACAGAUGAUAGCAUUAGCUCUUGAGGAAGGAACCAAUGUGCACGAACUUGAGCCCAAAUUGGUGAAUUUCCUCAUGAAAUAUGAAGAGGAAGUCGUCCAAGAUCAGCCCAAUUAAUUGGAGCUGAGUUCGAAUUUUAUUUCUAGUUUUUUUUUUCAAUCCAAUAAGUCCCUAAUACACCAAGGAUGCAUUAGCAAUUAAUGGACCUGAAGUGGAGGCAUGUGGGGCGUGAAUAAGAAGGCUUUAAGGGAGGAAUAUUCCAAGUUUGCAUCAGCUCUUGAUGGCUGAAGUAAAACUCCAAGAAUCUCCUUCAAUUGAAGUUAAUUUCCUAUUUUUGUUUAAUGUUAUGAGAGAAAGUUUAGGGGCUGUUACAAGCUGAGCUUGACCAGCUCAUUAGGAGUUUUUAUUUGAAUUUUCAGCUCAGAAUUGGAUGUUAAAACUCCAUAAUUAGUCAUUAAUUGGAGUUAAGACCAUAUCUCACCUUUGUAAUUCAAAAACAAAGCCAAACUCUUUUAAAAGGGAGGGACGGCCAAGCAUGGAGACAUGAAUGAAUAAGAUUAUUUUUUUCUGAGUUA